GACGAACGCUGGCGGCGUGCCUAAUACAUGCAAGUCGAGCGGACGAAUCGAAAGCUUGCUUUUGAUUCGUUAGCGGCGGACGGGUGAGUAACACGUGGGCAACCUGCCCUGUAGACGGGGAUAACACCGAGAAAUCGGUGCUAAUACCGGAUAACACGAAAUGUCGCAUGACGUUUCGUUGAAAGACGGCGCAGGCUGUCGCUACAGGAUGGGCCCGCGGCGCAUUAGCUAGUUGGUGAGGUAACGGCUCACCAAGGCGACGAUGCGUAGCCGACCUGAGAGGGUGAUCGGCCACACUGGGACUGAGACACGGCCCAGACUCCUACGGGAGGCAGCAGUAAGGAAUCUUCCGCAAUGGACGAAAGUCUGACGGAGCAACGCCGCGUGAGCGAAGAAGGCCUUCGGGUCGUAAAGCUCUGUUGUUAGGGAAUAACAAGUAACGCAGUAACUGGCGUUACCGUGACGGUACCUAACGAGAAAGCCACGGCUAACUACGUG
rnacentral:rRNA from 1 species